UACGGAGGGUGCAAGCGUUAUCCGGAUUCACUGGGUUUAAAGGGUGCGUAGGCGGACAGGAAAGUCCGUGGUGAAAUCCUGCAGCUUAACUGCAGAACUGCCGUGGAUACUCUCUGUCUUGAAUAUCGUGGAGGUGAGCGGAAUAUGUCAUGUAGCGGUGAAAUGCAUAGAGAUGACAUAGAACACCGAUUGCGAAGGCAGCUUGCUACAGGGAUAUUGACACUGAGGCACGAAAGCGUGGGGAUCAAACAGG
rnacentral:rRNA from 1 species